CCAUCUCAUCUUUUUCUUUUAUGUUUAUUUUGUCAUGUACAAUCUCUGUACUCUUGGUUUGAUUGGAAAAUGCCGCAAGACUUUAUGAGCUGCUUUCUUGCCUCCAUUUUUUUUUUACUUCCAUCCUGGCUUACCGCACUUAGGACAUAAUUCGGCAUUGGCAUACUCACACCAAUAUAAGAUACAAUCGUUCUCACAUGCAUCAAUUUUGUUAUACCCCAUGCCUAAGUCUCGAAGUACUUUAUUCGCUUCAUAGAAAGAAUUUGGUACAAAUAUCCUUCUGGAAGAACUUGUUUAAAGAAGCUCAACAAUGCAUUGACAGAUUUAUUUCUCCAAUGAUUAAGACACUUUAAGUGAAGUAGUCUAACUACAAAAGACAACUUCGACACUUUCUUACAUCCAGGAUAAAUCUCUAUUUCAGCAUCUUCCAAUAACUUAUAGAACUUUCUUGCAUGCAUAUUUGGCUCUUCAUCGUCCCUUGGAAGACUUCAUAUCGUCCAUGUUUGUAUACCCAAAAGCAUCAUGAAUCAUUUCACGAAUAUUAUCCUUUUCAAAAUUUUCAUCGUCUACUUCAUCAUUGUUUACCGCAUUUGAAUUUUCAACUCUUACUAAUACUUCUCCAUGCAAGUCCCAUACCUUGUAACUCACCCAAAAUCUCUUACCCAACAAGUCUUUCUUACUUGUAUUAUUGCCUUGAACACGAUAUUUCUACAUAUUUACAAGGACAACGAACCACGAUACUCACG
rnacentral:lncRNA from 1 species